rnacentral:rRNA from 1 species
UAGCUGCAAAGCUGAAGUCGAUCCUUGGCACUGCUAGGCAUGAAGUACAUGUUUACCUAGCGAUAUAUUCACAGUGAUCGGCAACCACAUAUGAUUCCGGAGUUC